GUUCUCGUUCUAUCAGUCACAAGAGGGGAUUCCAUGACUCCCAGCACUGGUAACGUGAAGUAUUAUACUUAGCAACAUAUGCACGGCUAAGAGGAUAUAGAACAUCUGGGCUGAAGAGAACUCAUUUAGAAGGUUUUAAUUCCCAACCUUUGAUGCCCUGAGUCCAGAGAUUAAGGAGAUACUCUGCUUUGUUGGCCUAAAAUUUAAUACGAUUUAGGAAUCUUAGCUGCAAUUUUUCAUUCCCGUGGAGGGGGAAAGAGAUUUUAUUAACUGUCAUAUCGCAAGCUGCUAAUUUAUUCAUUCAUUUUUUUCCACGGACCAUCAUGCAUUGAACAUCUUUAAUAUGCCGAGUGCUGUCAAGGGCCAUGUGGGAUACAGAUAAAAUCGGCCCCACUCUACCCUCAGGAGGCUCAAAGUCUGGAGCAUAUGGUGACAAGAGAUAUUUCGAGUGUUAAGUGUUAAGAUCUACUGACUUCUAACGGGCAUGGCUGGAAACUCUGCUCACUGAAACAUUGCUGCAUGUUGGGCGAUCCUACCCCAUCACUGAGCCUACGGAUUUCCUUUAUGCCUCCGUAAAACGUGGACAGCUGACCCGGAAUUACUUUCUGCUGUGGGGAAUGACUCAACAAAGCCGUGUGAGCUGACUCCAUUCAGUGAAUGUGACUCUCCAAACAGCUGUAGGAAGGAAGAUUCCAGAGGGGCCCCGGCGGUGUGAUGAGUGCUUCUUGGGGACCCUGGAUUUCCUGCCCAGACCUGGAGUUCGGCCAUGUUCUUCCGGGAGUCCUGAUUUCUUUCAGUGACAGUCUGGAUGCUCCAGAGGUGCUCCUUGUUAUUAGGUAUCUCCACCAAAUGCACCCAGGAGCAACAGUAUCUCAAUAGCAAAGGCCAUAACUCACUCCCAGAUCUUGGUUUCUAAAUAUAUUCUCCAUUAAGACAAAACCUAGGUAUGUGAGAGAAGUAGUUAAUCCCAGGGUUGGAGGCAGAAAAAGUACAGGACGAGCCCCAAACAUAUCAUUGUGCCGGAACAUGAGGAAGUGGGCAAAGAAGGAUGGAGACAUACCCAGACAACACCAUCCGCCUGAAGAGGUUUACCACUGGCUAUGUCCAGGAUGAUCUGAGUACCAAAAUAAACAUAGUAGUGCAAUAUAGCCCACUGAACGAAAAAAGAACCCAUGAGUACAUGAUGACAUAAAUAAAUGGGAGAAAAAAGGGAAAACUUUCUUAUAGUAGAAUAUGACUAACAAGAGUUCAAGUAACAAAGCUUAGAAAAAUAUUUAUUUAUACAGUCUUGAAGUAUCUCUCCAAAAUUGCUUAUUAGUUUCAAAGGAAAAAACAGCAACUUUAUAGUGGAGACCUCUGGUAGAUACCCAUUAACUAAGGUAUCUAAGUGCCUAUUAACACACAAACAGACAUCAUGUUUCUCCUGAUGUGAUACAUUGAGAAGGAUGUAUCAACUUCAGUGGUGUUACUAAGCUCGAAUCCAAUCCUGAGGAAAUAAGAAACACAGAAGGAGGGAUAAUAUGUAGAACUGGCCUGCACUCCUUAAAAACAUAGGGUUGUUAAAAAAAAAAAUGAAAGACUGAGGAACUCUUCUGACUCAAGAAGACUAAAGAUGUGGGCAGUAAGGUGAUGGGUGCUCCUGGACUAGACGGGCUUCAGGCUGGGGAAGAGUGGCUAUAAAAGACACUGAAAUAAAUGAUAAAUCUGAAUACAGA